AUUGAACGCUGGCGGCAUGCUUUACACAUGCAAGUCGAGCGGUAACAGGGUGCUUGCACCGCUGACGAGUGGCGAACGGGUGAGUAAUGCGUCGGAACGUGCCGAGUAGUGGGGGAUAACGCAGCGAAAGUUGUGCUAAUACCGCAUACGACCUGAGGGUGAAAGGGGGGGAUCGCAAGACCUCUCGCUAUCGGAGCGGCCGAUGUCGGAUUAGCUAGUUGGUGGGGUAAGAGCCCACCAAGGCAACGAUCCGUAGCUGGUCUGAGAGGACGACCAGCCACACUGGGACUGAGACACGGCCCAGACUCCUACGGGAGGCAGCAGUGGGGAAUUUUGGACAAUGGACGCAAGUCUGAUCCAGCCAUGCCGCGUGCGGGAAGAAGGCCUUCGGGUUGUAAACCGCUUUUGUCAGGGAAGAAAUCUUCUGAGUUAAUACCUCGGGAGGAUGACGGUACCUGAAGAAUAAGCACCGGCUAACUACGUGCCAGCCGCCGCUGUAAUAC
rnacentral:rRNA from 1 species